UCGGGCGUGGUGUACGGUGCACUGCGCGUCUUCCUGACCAGGAGGCAAAUUGAACCGAGCGCGCAGGCCGGGGUUCGACUCCCCGCGCCCGAC